UACGAACCGUACGAGCGUUAUUCGGAAUUACUGGGCUUAAAGGGUUUGUAGGCGGCCUUGUAAGUCAGGUGUGAAAUCCCUCGGCUCAACCGAGGAAUGGCGCUUGAUACUGCAAGGCUUGAGGGAGACAGGGGUAAGCGGAACUGAUGGUGGAGCGGUGAAAUGCGUUGAUAUCAUCAGGAACACCGGUGGCGAAAGCGGCUUACUGGGUCUCUUCUGACGCUGAGGAACGAAAGCUAGGGUAGCGAACGGG
rnacentral:rRNA from 1 species